rnacentral:misc_RNA from 1 species
GAUGUGGAACAUUGAUCAUCUUCAGAAGAUUUAGGAACCUGGACUGAAUUCACAGCAUCAACAGAAGAAGAGACCUUUUCAGGUUCCUGGUACCUCCCCUCAUUUUUUUUGGGUGGAGAAUGAAGAUCUCCUUGCAAUGCAACUCCAACUGGUGCUUCAUCAACAGGAACAGGGUAAGUUUUUUCCACAGGACGAGUUUUCUCAGGUUCAAUUUCUUGCUGAACUGAAACAUCAGGUUUUCGCUUCUCCUCCUUUAUUAGUAUCUGAGAUUUAUGCAACUGAAUGCUAUUACCCGAAUGUCCUUCAUGCAAACCUCCCUGUUGAUUUAUAAGGCCAUGGAGAGGCACUGAAUGAGGAGUUUCUUCAUAAGGAGAAUAAUUAGAAGAAUUGCAAUGAUCGUGCGGCAGGAAAUGCUGAGUUUCUCUAUGAUCCAUCAACUGGCCAUGAUAAAACUGUGGAUGUGGAUGGGUUUCAUAUGCACUGGAGGAACUCUGAAGAAUUGGUUGAGCAGUAAAUGGCAAAGUACUGACCCCAACAGAGACAGUUGCAGCACUACUUGUCUCUCUGUCAACAUUUAGUCUAUCUAACUCAUCUAAAUUAUUUCCUGAAGAGCUUGCCAAACCAUGCAGGGUCGAGUUUUUCCUGGUUCCCACUUCCAUGCCAUUAACAGCAACUACAUACUGAAUCUCAGAA